rnacentral:rRNA from 1 species
GAAUAUUGGACAAUGGGGGGAACCCUGAUCCAGCCAUGCCGCGUGUGCGAAGAAGGCCUCUUGGUUGUAAAGCACUUUAAGCGAGGAGGAGGCUACGCGUGUUAAUACCUCGAGAUAGUGAACGUUACUCGCAGAAUAAGCACGGGCUAACUCUGUGCCAGCAUCCGCGGUAAUACAGAGGGUGCGAGCGUUAAUCGGAUUUACUGGGCGUAAAGCGUGCGUAGGCGGCCAAUUAAGUCAAAUGUGAAAUCCCCGAGCUUAACUUGGGAAUUGCAUUCGAUACUGGUUGGCUAGAGUAUGGGAGAGGAUGGUAGAAUUCCAGGUGUAGCGGUGAAAUGCGUAGAGAUCUGGAGGAAUACCGAUGGCGAAGGCAGCCAUCUGGCCUAAUACUGACGCUGAGGUACGAAAGCAUGGGGAGCAAACAG